AGCGAACGCUGGCGGCAGGCCUAACACAUGCAAGUCGAGCGGGCGUCGCAAGACGUCAGCGGCAGACGGGAGAGUAACACGUGGGAACGUACCCUUCGGUUCGGAAUAACCCAGGGAAACUUGGGCUAAUACCGGAUACGUCCGUAAGGAGAAAGAUUUAUCGCCUUUAGAGCGGCCCGCGUCUGAUUAGCUAGUUGGUGAGGUAAUGGCUCACCAAGGCUACGAUCAGUAGCUGGUCUGAGAGGAUGACCAGCCACAUUGGGACUGAGACACGGCCCAAACUCCUACGGGAGGCAGCAGUGGGGAAUCUUGCGCAAUGGGCGAAAGCCUGACGCAGCCAUGCCGCGUGGAUGAUGAAGGUCUUAGGAUUGUAAAAUCCUUUCACCGGUGAAGAUAAUGACUGUAGCCGGAGAAGAAGCCCCGGCUAACUUCGUGCCAGCCGCCGCCGUAA
rnacentral:rRNA from 1 species